UGUCGGUAAACGUGUACUGUUUGGUCAGACAGGUGGUACACGUUGACUAUAUCGGGUUGUGCAUUCCACCGUCACUCUGAAUUAGAAUGUAUAUGACAUUGAACGAAAAUGCUCUAA
rnacentral:ncRNA from 1 species